UGGGGAAUAUUGCACAAUGGGCGCAAGCCUGAUGCAGCCAUGCCGCGUGUGUGAAGAAGGCCUUCGGGUUGUAAAGCACUUUCAGCGAGGAGGAAGGUGGUGAGCUUAAUACGCUCAUCAAUUGACGUUACUCGCAGAAGAAGCACCGGCUAACUCCGUGCCAGCAGCCGCGGUAAUACGGAGGGUGCAAGCGUUAAUCGGAAUUACUGGGCGUAAAGCGCACGCAGGCGGUUUGUUAAGUCAGAUGUGAAAUCCCCGGGCUCAACCUGGGAACUGCAUUUGAAACUGGCAAGCUAGAGUCUCGUAGAGGGGGGUAGAAAUUCCAGGUGUAGCGGUGAAAUGCGUAGAGAUCUGGAGGAAUACCGGUGGCGAAGGCGGCCCCCUGGACGAAGACUGACGCUCAGGUGCGAAAGCGUGGGGCAGCAAACAGGAUUAGAUACCCCUGGUAGUCCAGCGCUGUAAAACGAUGUCGAUUUGGAGGUUGUGCCCUUGAGGCGUGGCUUCCGGAGCUAACGCGUUAAAUCGACCGCCUGGGGAGUACGGCCGCAAGGUUAAAACUCAAAGGAAUUGAC
rnacentral:rRNA from 1 species